rnacentral:lncRNA from 1 species
GCCUAAUGGGGUCUGACCUCACCCUGUUUGGAGGUGGCCUUGUAAGAGCAAGAGCAAGGUCCACCAGAGAACAUCUGUUAACCUCUUCCCCAGCUCUUAGAGAAAAGAGCUGGAACCACAAAUUUACAGACACUGCUGAGGCCUGGGACCACCCAGUGGGGAGAUCUCUGGUGGAGGGAGCAGAGGAAGGAAAGAGGAAGGAUAUCAAAGAGUUGCAGAGUCAGAGGAGAAGGGAUGGCCCCGAGAGCACUGACAAUGUGUGUGGUAUGGUCUCUGCCCAGGCCAGCAGCAAGGGAAUGGAGGAGGACUUCCCUCUCUGCACAAGAAGUGAAUCUGGAGAAGAGACACCUGGCGUAUUUAGAGAGCCAAUGGCUCCUUCAUCUCCAAAGGAAUCUUGGGAACUUGCUGCCAUACAGGAUGGUGAUCAGUUGGACUGCUGGAAUGCACAGGUUGAUUCCCUAAGAUUAUCUUUGGGCUUUGGGGACAUUUGCAUCACAUGUUAAAAACUGGUGAAAAUUCAUUUAAUUUUUUAAUUUUUAAUUUUUUUCUUUUGUCCUUUUAGUGCUGCACCUGUGGCAUAUUCCCAGGCUAGGGGUCUAAUGGGAGCUGUAGCUGCUGGCCUAUGCCAGAGCCACAGCAACGCCAGACCCGAGCUGUGUCUGUGACCUACACCACAGCUCAUGGCGAUCCUUAACCCACUGAGCCAGGCCAAGGAUCAAAGCCGCAACCUCAUGGGUCCUAGUUGGAUUCCUUUCCGCUGCACCAUGACAGGAACUCCUGAAAAUUUAUUUUUAUUUUAAAAUUUCUUACAAGUAUUUCAUCUGUCAUGAGAGAAAAUAAAAAAUUCCAAAGGGAAAAAUGCA